GCUGGGCGUGGUGGCUCACGCCUGUAAUCCCAGCACUUUGGGAGGCUGAGGUGGGCGAAUCACCAGAGGUCAGGAGCGAGACCAGCCUGACCAAUAUGGUGAAACCCCAUCUUAA
rnacentral:sRNA from 13 species